rnacentral:rRNA from 1 species
UACGAAGGUGGCAAGCGUUACUCGGAAUUACUAGGCGUAAAGGGCAUGUAGGUGGUUUGGUAAGUCUGUUGUGAAAGCUCCUUGCUUAACGGGGAGAGGUCAACAGAUACUGCCAGGCUUGAGUAUGGGAGAGGGUACUGGAAUUCCUGGUGUAGCGGUGAAAUGCGCAGAGAUCAGGAGGAACACCGAUGGCGAAAGCAGGUACCUGGACCAUUACUGACACUCAGCUGCGAAAGCUAGGGGAGCAAACAGG